rnacentral:rRNA from 1 species
GUCCACGCCCUAAACGAUGUCGACUGGUUGUUGGGGUUUGACACUCUCAGUAACGAAGCUAACGCGUGAAGUCGACCGCCUGGGGAGUACGGCCGCAAGGUUAAAACUCAAAGGAAUUGACGGGACCCGCACAAGCGGUGGAUUAUGUGGAUUAAUUCGAUGCAACGCGAAAACCUUACCUACCCUUGACAUGUCCUGGAGCCUGAAGAGAUUCGGGUGUGCCCCGAAAGGGAACGGGAACACAGGUGCUGCAUGGCUGUCGU